rnacentral:rRNA from 1 species
GAUGAACGCUGGCGGCGUGCCUAAUACAUGCAAGUCGAGCGAACAGACGAGGAUCUUGCUCCUCUGACGUUAGCGGCGGACGGGUGAGUAACACGUGGAUAACCUACCUAUAAGACUGGGAUAACUUCGGGAAACCGGAUCUAAUACCGGAUAAUAUAUUGAACCGCAUGGUUCAAUAGUGAAAGACGGUUUUGCUGUCACUUAUAGAUGGAUCCGCGCCGCAUUAGCUAGUUGGUAAGGUAACGGCUUACCAAGGCAACGAUGCGUAGCCGACCUGAGAGGGUGAUCGGCCCAACAGGAACUGAGACAAGGUCCAGACUCCUAAGGGAGGCCGCAGUAGGGAAUCAUCCGACAAGGGCGAAAGCCUGACGGAGCACAGCCGCGUGAGUGAUGAAGGUCUUCGGAUCGUAAAACUAUGUUAUUAGGGAAGAACAAAUGUGUAAGUAACUAUGCACGUCUUGACGGUAACUAAUAAGAAAGCCACGGCUAAAUACGUG